GGUUGCAUGGUGUAGAGGUUAUCACUCGGGAUUUUGAUUCCCGCAACCCGAGUUCGAAUCUCGGUGCGACCU